rnacentral:rRNA from 1 species
GGAAUUUUCCGCAAUGGGCGAAAGCCUGACGGAGCAACGCCGCGUGAGGGAUGAAGGCCUCUGGGCUGUAAACCUCUUUUAUCAAGGAAGAAGAUCUGACGGUACUUGAUGAAUAAGCCACGGCUAAUUCCGUGCCAGCAGCCGCGGUAAUACGGGAGUGGCAAGCGUUAUCCGGAAUUAUUGGGCGUAAAGCGUCCGCAGGCGGCCUUGUAAGUCUGUCGUCAAAGCGCGGAGCUUAACUCCAUUUAAGCGAUGGAAACUGCAAGGCUAGAGUGUGGUAGGGGCAGAGGGAAUUCCCGGUGUAGCGGUGAAAUGCGUAGAUAUCGGGAAGAACACCAGUGGCGAAGGCGCUCUGCUGGGCCAUAACUGACGCUCAUGGACGAGAGCCAGGGGAGCGAAAGGGAUUAGAUACCCCUGUAGUCCUGGCCGUAAACGAUGAACGCUAGGUGUCGGGGGAAUCGACCCCCUCGGUGUCGUAGCCAACGCGUUAAGUGUUCCGCCUGGGGAGUACGCACGCAAGUGUGAAACUCAAAGGAAUUGACGGA